rnacentral:rRNA from 1 species
GGCAAAUUUGGCAUGUGAUACCUUUUCGGAAAGCCCAAAGAGAGCCCUCCGACGAAAGAAGCAAGACAAUGGAACUUUUCCAUUGACUUUUUGUCGACUCCAAAUUUUGACCUUUAAGUACUUUUUCGGGCAUUUUCGUGAUUUGUGCUAUAUUACGGACCCAAAAUUACUUUUUCAAGCAUUGUUUUCGAAUAUUUUUCAUGCAUCAAAGCUCGUUAAGACUAGAUGGGGUAUCCCUACAUGGCGGGUGGGACCCACGGCGAACGGUUCAUCAAGACUUAAAAAAAGAAUAUAUACGAUUGCAUUGCAUAUACUAACGGAUGCGAUCAUACCAGCACUAAUGCACCGGAUCCCAUCAGAACUCCGCAGUUAAGCGUGCUUGGGCGAGAGUAGUACUAGGAUGGGUGACCUCCCGGGANGUNCUCGUGUUGCAUCCCUCUUUUUUUUUUUUUUUUUUUGGUUAAAACUUUAUGACUCCAUAACUUUUAGACCGUAA